AGGUAUUAAAUGCAGUUGCCCGUUUUUUAGAAACUCCCUAGUCACGUCAAUACAAUCUAUGAAAUUUCGAGAGUUAGAUAUCAUGUUUGGUGCUAAGUCAGGAAUUAUAUGUUGUAAGCCAGCAAAAAUCCUUGAUCGUUCUUCGGCAUCAACUGUAGGCAUUUCUGCAAUAUUUUUUAUAAUCUCAACUGAGCGCACGUAUGUAUGUUGACAUUCUCCUUCUUGUGUCAAUAAUAUAAUCUGAUCUAAAAAUAGUGAAUAUCGUGGAAUCCUUUGAACUGGUUCCAUAAUAAGCUGACUCAAACCCACAUU